CGGACGGGUGAAGUAACGCGUGAGAACCUACCUUCAGAAUGGGGACAACAGUUGGAAACGACUGCUAAUACCCAAUGUGCCGAAAGGUGAAAGAUUUAUCGUCUGAAGAUGGGCUCGCGUCUGAUUAGCUAGAUGGUGGGGUAAGAGCCUACCAUGGCAACGAUCAGUAGCUGGUCUGAGAGGAUGAGCAGCCACACUGGGACUGAGACACGGCCCAGACUCCUACGGGAGGCAGCAGUGGGGAAUUUUCCGCAAUGGGCGAAAGCCUGACGGAGCAAUACCGCGUGAGGGAGGAAGGUCCUUGGAUUGUAAACCUCUUUUAUCAGGGAAGAAGUUCUGACGGUACCUGAUGAAUAAGCAUCGGCUAACUCCGUGCCAGCAGCCGCGGUAAUACGGAGGAUGCAAGCGUUAUCCGGAAUUAUUGGGCGUAAAGCGUCCGUAGGUGGUUAUGCAAGUCUGCCGUUAAAGAAUGGAGCUUAACUCCAUAGGAGCGGUGGAAACUGCAAGACUAGAGUACAGUAGGGGUAGCAGGAAUUCCCAGUGUAGCGGUGAAAUGCGUAGAUAUUGGGAAGAACAUCGGUGGCGAAAGCGUGCUACUGGGCUGAAACUGACACUGA
rnacentral:rRNA from 1 species